ACGAUUUAGAGAGUUCUUAAAAGAGGUUUUUUUGUUGAAGUAUAUAAUAUUGAUAUAUACCACAAAACUCACACAGUUCUCACUUUUGGUUAGGGAUGUUAUUCGGUCGGUUAAAUCUAAGACUGACAAUUGGUAAGGAUAAACAUCUUAUCCGUAAUGUUUCGACUCGUUGGACAAGGGGUGCUUACGCUUAGAUCCGGCUUUAUCCAAACUUUUCUGGUUCACCCCAACAUUCCCCACUUGUCCGACUGUUGCUGAGCAGUUUUUGGAUAUCAAACGGACCCCCCCAUAAGGAAGGAAGAGGAAAAUGAUUGAUGCACAUGGAUCAGUUGAGAUGGUUUGGGAAACCAUACCAAAUGGAAGUAUCACAAUACACUUGUGACCACAGAGGUUCAAAUGCAGUGAUUCCGGGCUAUCUGCAAAACAGGUGGUCGUCCUAAGAUUAG